rnacentral:rRNA from 1 species
GAUGAACGCUAGCUACAGGCUUAACACAUGCAAGUCGAGGGGUAACGAGAGGAAAGCUUGCUUUCCUUGUCGACGACCGGCGCACGGGUGAGUAACGCGUAUCCAACCUGCCCCCAACUAGGGAAUAACCUUGCGAAAGUAAGACUAAUACCCUAUAAUUUCCUCAGAUGCCAUCUGUCGAGGAAUAAAGAUUUAUCGGUUGUGGAUGGGGAUGCGUCUGAUUAGCUUGUUGGCAGGGUAACGGCCCACCAAGGCAACGAUCAGUAGGGGUUCUGAGAGGAAGGUCCCCCACAUUGGAACUGAGACACGGUCCAAACUCCUACGGGAGGCAGCAGUGAGGAAUAUUGGUCAAUGGGCGGAAGCCUGAACCAGCCAAGUAGCGUGCAGGAUGACGGCCCUAUGGGUUGUAAACUGCUUUUAUACAGGAAUAAAGUUAGCCACGUGUGGUUAUUUGUAGGUACUGUAUGAAUAAGGACCGGCUAAUUCCGUGCCAGCCGCCGCAGUAA